AAGCGUUUGCGACCAGACCUUUUCUAGGCGGAUCAUCCGGUGUUCUCACCGGUGCACUUCGCCUGGUUUAGGCCAGCAUCGGUUUUUGUAGGGGGAUAAAGGCCUGGGGAAUGUAGCUCCUCCGGGAGUGUUAUAGCCCCUCGCGUAAUACCUUUACGGGGACCGAGGACCGCGCUUCGGCAAGGAUGCUGGCAUAAUGGUUGUCAGCGA
rnacentral:rRNA from 1 species